ensembl:miRNA sha-mir-221 sha-mir-221
UAUGUUAUCCAGAUGAAAAGAAUUGGUUUUGUAGGAAGAACAUCCAGGUUUGGGGCAUGAACCUGGCAUACAAUGUAGAAUUCUGUGUUUAUUAAGUAACAGCUACAUUGUCUGCUGGGUUUCAGGCUACCUGGGAAUAUACAUCUAACU